rnacentral:rRNA from 1 species
UUUGGAUUUAAUACCUCGAUACGGUAUGUGAGAAUGGCAUCAUUUUCACAUUAAAGUCACAACGGCAAAAGAUGAGCAUGCGUCCCAUUAGCUUGUGGUAAGGUAACGGCUUACCCAAGGCAACCGGAUGGGUAGGGGGUCCCUGAGAGGGAGAUCCCCCACACUGGUACUGAGACACGGACCAGACUCCUACGGGAGGCAGCAGUGAGGAAUAUUGGACAAUGGGCGCAAGCCUGAUCCAGCCAUGCCGCGUGCAGGAUGACGGUCCUAUGGAUUGUAAACUGCUUUUGUACAGGAAGAAACACUGGUUCGUGAACCAGCUUGACGGUACCGAGAGAAUAAGCCCCGGCUAACUCCGUG